rnacentral:rRNA from 1 species
CAGCCGUAAACUAUGCGCGUUAGGUGUAUCGGUGACCACGAGUUACCGAGGUGCCGAAGGGAAACCGUGAAACGUGCCGCCUGGGAAGUACGGUCGCAAGGCUGAAACUUAAAGGAAUUGGCGGGGGAGCACCACGAACAGGUGGAGCCUGCGGUUUAAUUGGACUCAACGCCGGGAAGCUCACCGGAUAAGACAGCGGAAUGAUUGCCGGGCUGAAGACUCUGCAUGACUAGCUGAGAGGAGGUGCAUGGCGUAGACGUCU